rnacentral:rRNA from 1 species
AUUAAGCUAAAAAAGAAUUCCUCCUACACUUGGCAGAGCAUUAUGCAAGGGGUGAAUACCCUGAAACAUGGAUACAUUUGGAGAGUUGGGGAUGGUGAAAAAAUAAAUAUUUGGAGGGAUGUGUGGAUUCCUAACUCACCAUCCAGAAUGAUUAUUGCCCCAAGAGGUAACCAGUUACUAUCAAAGGUGAGUGAUUUAAUUGAUUCAGCUACAGGUCACUGGGAUGUGCCACUUGUGGAGCAAACCUUCUGGCCGGUUGAUGUGGAACGGGUCCUUGCUUUACCACUACCUACACAUGAUAUGAGUGACUUUGUAGCAUGGAGUUUGAAUAAACAUGGAAUUUUUACAGUGAAAUCGGCCUACCAUGCUCUAUGGUACUUUCAGCAUGGCCGUAAAUUGCAGAGGACAGAUGGUUUGGGAGCCACUAGUGCUAACCCAACAUGGGAAAAGGUUUGGAAACUAAAUUGUCCGGCGAAAGUUAAAAAAUUUGUUUGGAGAACCUUACACGGAACACUACCAUGCAAUGUGGUUCUUGCUAAUAGACACAUCCCAAUCCGGUCGACGUGUCCUGCAUGUAAACAAGGAGCAGAAGAUGUGUUUCAUGUACUAUUUCGAUGCCAUAAGGCUAGAGAGGUUUGGCGGCAGUUGGGGCUAGAGGAUGUUAUACGCCAUGCAUGUGGGGUAGACCGAGCAGGGGAGGAGAUUCUAUCAUACUUAAAUUGCCAUGCUCUUAAUAGUAAAGCUGCCAUGUUUUGA